rnacentral:rRNA from 1 species
UACGGAGGGAGCUAGCGUUGUUCGGAAUUACUGGGCGUAAAGCGCACGUAGGCGGCUUUUCAAGUCAGGGGUGAAAUCCCGGGGCUCAACCCCGGAACUGCCCUUGAAACUGGAUGGCUAGAAUACUGGAGAGGUGAGUGGAAUUCCGAGUGUAGAGGUGAAAUUCGUAGAUAUUCGGAAGAACACCAGUGGCGAAGGCGACUCACUGGACAGUUAUUGACGCUGAGGUGCGAAAGCGUGGGGAGCAAACAGGAUUAGAUACCCCGGUAGUCC